AGGAGAAGGAGCCGGGUGCACACUCUGUUGGCAAAGAUGGGGUUCCUGAACGGUGGGUGUGCUGCCCCAAGUGCCCCAAGUGCCAUAUUCUGUUACAGAUAAUGAUACACAGGAAGGCCCGAAGAAGACGGGCCUAACCAACAGAGAAAGAGACACCGCGACACAACUAACGCAGGUAACCCAUCGGGUAGAGUGCAGUCUAGG
rnacentral:lncRNA from 1 species